UACGGGGGGGGCAAGCGUUGUUCGGAAUUACUGGGCGUAAAGGGCUCGUAGGUGGCCAACUAAGUCAGACGUGAAAUCCCUCAGCUUAACUGGGGAACUGCGUCUGAUACUGGAUGGCUUGAGAUUGGGAGAGGGAUGCGGAAUUCCAGGUGUAGCGGUGAAAUGCGUAGAUAUCAGGAAGAACACCCGUGGCGAAGGCGGUUCUCUGGGACGGUACUGACGCUGAGACGCGAAAGCGUGGGGAGCGAACAGG
rnacentral:rRNA from 1 species